AGCGAACGCUGGCGGCAGGCCUAACACAUGCAAGUCGAACGAACCCUUCGGGGUUAGUGGCGGACGGGUGAGUAACACGUGGGAACGUGCCUUUAGGUUCGGAAUAACUCAGGGAGACUUGUGCUAAUACCGAAUGUGCCCUUCGGGGGAAAGACUUAUCGCCUUUAGAGCGGCCCGCGUCUGAUUAGCUAGUUGGUGAGGUAAUGGCUCACCAAGGCUACGAUCAGUAGCUGGUCUGAGAGGAUGACCAGCCACAUUGGGACUGAGACACGGCCCAAACUCCUACGGGAGGCAGCAGUGGGGAAUCUUGCGCAAUGGGCGAAAGCCUGACGCAGCCAUGCCGCGUGGAUGAUGAAGGUCUUAGGAUUGUAAAAUCCUUUCACCGGUGAAGAUAAUGACUGUAGCCGGAGAAGAAGCCCCGGCUAACUUCGUGCCAGCCGCCGCAGUAACAC
rnacentral:rRNA from 1 species